rnacentral:lncRNA from 1 species
AGACCUGUGUUCCACUCUAUAUGAGCCACACGCACAACAAAUACUCAAAGAUGAAUUUAUGUCGAUUAUUCCCGGAUCUGCAACAGUUGAUACUUUGUUAUUGCUAGGACAUGGAUUAUAGUGCUGAAUUUUUGUGACUAAUGUGUCAUAUGAUCAGUAGCUCCCCAGUCAAUGAUUCAAGAACUCAAAAGGGACUUAUCUGAACCACUUAGUGCACGAGAAAGAGAAAUUUACCUGAAUUAUCACCCUGUCGUUGGUUUGAACAUUUGAUUACACCACCAUAACUCCUCUCCUUCCUUAUUUGGCUUGAAAAUUGGAGAAUACUUCCUUGAUGGAUGGUAGAGUUUCUCCAGAAGUUGCAGCAGUUAUGAUGGAAAUCUCAGAAACAUCAGACAUGGUGGAACCACGAAAGAGGAGAUAAAAGGACCUUUAGCAAUGAAGGCUAUAAACUUUAGCAAUGAGGGCUGCAAAUAUUAGUCAAUGAAGGCUGAAAUUUUUUUCUUGAUAAUGGCAAUGAAGGCUGAUAAAGAAACUGAAAGAGUCCCAAGGUUUCAGGGCUCUGACACCUUGUGGAGAAAACUGGUCUUAACAUUCAAUAAUCUGAUAGUAGUACAAACCUAAUGUAUAAGCUAGAAUUACGAAGAAAGUCAUCGGACAAUAAAGCUUUCAAUCUCUAUAACAGGGAUUACACCUUUUAAUUGCUAAACAUUCGGGAUUACAUCUAC